rfam:Felis catus isolate Cinnamon breed Abyssinian chromosome X, whole genome shotgun sequence.
ACCUGGUUGGCUCAGUCGGUAGAGUAUAAGAUUCUUGAUCUCAGGGUCAUGGGUUCAAGCCCCACAUCGGGUG